rnacentral:rRNA from 1 species
UACGGGAGGCAGCAGUGGGGAAUAUUGCACAAUGGGCGCAAGCCUGAUGCAGCCAUGCCGCGUGUAUGAAAAAGGCCUUCGGGUUGUAAAGUACUUUCAGUCGUGAGGAAGGUGUUAAGGUUAAUAACCUUAGCAAUUGACGUUAGCGACAGAAGAAGCACCGGCUAACUCCGUGCCAGCAGCCGCGGUAAUACGGAGGGUGCGAGCGUUAAUCGGAAUUACUGGGCUAAAGGGCACGCAGGCGGUUAAUUAAGUUGGAUGUGAAAUCCCCGGGCUUAACCUGGGAAUGGCAUUCAAGACUGGUUAGCUAGAGUCUUGUAGAGGGGGUAGAAUUCCAUGUGUAGCGGUGAAAUGCGUAGAGAUGUGGAGGAAUACCGGUGGCGAAGGCGGCCCCUGGACAAAGACUGACGCUCGAUGUGCGAAAGCGUGGGGAGCAAACAGGGAUUAGAUACCCGU